CCCUUAGAUGUCCUGGGCCGCACGCGCGUUACACUGAUGCAUUCAACGAGCUUAUAACCUUGGCCGAGAGGCCUGGGCAAUCUUGUUAACGUGCAUCGUGAUAGGGAUAGAUUAUUGAAAUUAUUAAUCUUGAACGAGGAAUUCCUAGUAAACGCAGAUCAUCAAUCUGCAUUGAUUACGUCCCUGCCCUUUGUACACACCGCCCGUCGCACCUACCGAUUGGAUGGUCCGGUGAAGCCUCGUGAUUGUGGUUCUUGCCGCUUUAUUGUGGCGUGACCGCGAGAACUUGUCUAAACCUUAUCAUCUAGAGGAAGGUGAAGUCGUAACA
rnacentral:rRNA from 1 species